rnacentral:tRNA from 1 species
GGCUCGGUAGCGCAGCGGUUCAGCGCACCUGUUGUAUUAUCAGGAGACCCCAGUUCGACUCUGGGCCGAGUUG